UAUUGCACAAUGGGGGGAACCCUGAUGCAGCGACGCCGCGUGAGCGAUGAAGUAUUUCGGUAUGUAAAGCUCUAUCAGCAGGGAAGAAACUGACGGUACCUGACUAAGACCCCCCGGCUCACUCCGUGCCAGCAGCCGCGGUAAUACGUAGGGGGCACGCGUUAUCCGGAUUUACUGGGUGUAAAGGGAGCGUAGACGGCAGUGCAAGUCUGAAGUGAAAGGCAAGGGCUCAACCCUUGGACUGCUUUGGAAACUGUGCUGCUGGAGUGUCGGAGAGGCAAGUGGAAUUCCUAGUGUAGCGGUGAAAUGCGUAGAUAUUAGGAGGAACACCAGUGGCGAAGGCGGCUUGCUGGACGAUGACUGACGUUGAGGCUCGAAAGCGUGGGGAGCAAA
rnacentral:rRNA from 1 species